rfam:Oryza nivara chromosome 7, whole genome shotgun sequence.
AAUAUGUGCAGUUUUGCACUAUUCAUGUUAAACAUUUGACCAUUUAUCUUAUUUAAAUUUUUUUAUUAAUAUUUUUAUUAUUAUUAGAUGAUAAAACAUGAAUAGUACUUUAUAUAUGACUAUUUUUUUAAAAAAAUUUAUAAACUUUUUAAAUAAAACGGACGGUCAAACGUUGGAUACGGAUACCCACGGCUGCACUUAUU